rnacentral:rRNA from 2 species
GCGACCCCAGGUCAGGCGGGGCUACCCGCUGAAUUUAAGCAUAUC